GCGCUGCAUUAGCUAGUUGGUAAGGUAACGGCUUACCAAGGCAACGAUGCAUAGCCGACCUGAGAGGGUGAUCGGCCACACUGGAACUGAGACACGGUCCAGACUCCUACGGGAGGCAGCAGUAGGGAAUCUUCCGCAAUGGGCGAAAGCCUGACGGAGCAACGCCGCGUGAGUGAUGAAGGUCUUCGGAUCGUAAAACUCUGUUAUUAGGGAAGAACAUAUGUGUAAGUAACUGUGCACAUCUUGACGGUACCUAAUCAGAAAGCCACGGCUAACUACGUGCCAGCAGCCGCGGUAAUACGUAGGUGGCAAGCGUUAUCCGGAAUUAUUGGGCGUAAAGCGCGCGUAGGCGGUUUUUUAAGUCUGAUGUGAAAGCCCACGGCUCAACCGUGGAGGGUCAUUGGAAACUGGAAAACUUGAGUGCAGAAGAGGAAAGUGGAAUUCCAUGUGUAGCGGUGAAAUGCGCAGAGAUAUGGAGGAACACCAGUGGCGAAGGCGACUUUCUGGUCUGUAACUGACGCUGAUGUGCGAAAGCGUGGGGAUCAAACAGGAUUA
rnacentral:rRNA from 1 species